rnacentral:rRNA from 1 species
GACGAACGCUGGCGGCGUGCUUAACACAUGCAAGUCGAACGGAAAGUCCCUGCUUUUGUGGGGUGCUCGAGUGGCGAACGGGUGAGUAACACGUGAGUAACCUGCCCUUGACUUUGGGAUAACUUCAGGAAACUGGGGCUAAUACCGGAUAGGAGCUCCUGCUGCAUGGUGGGGGUUGGAAAGUUUCGGCGGUUGGGGAUGGACUCGCGGCUUAUCAGCUUGUUGGUGGGGUAGUGUCUUACCAAGGCUUUGACGGGUAGCCGGCCUGAGAGGGUGACCGGCCCAGUUGCGACUGAGAUGAGGCACAGACUCCUACGGGAGGCAGCAGUGGGGAAUAGUGCACAAUGGGCGGAAGCCUGGUGCAGCAAAGCCGCGUGGGGGGUGACGGCCAUCGGGUUGUAAACCGCUUUCGCCUGUGACGAAGCGUGAGUGACGGUAAUGGGUAAAGAAGCACCGGCUAACUACGUG